CUUUCUGCUCUCUGGGAGGGAAGGAAGAGCUUCUUCUUUUUGUCAUCCUUUCUCUUGGGUGCCAGCACAGCAGAGGAUGCCCAGCAACCCCCCAUCUCUUUGCUGAUUCUCAAAAGUAUUUUAGAGAAGUCAGCAGCAGCAAUUCUGAAGGGGUCUGCUUCUGAACUGCACUGAACUUCACUGGAGGAGACUACUUCAGAUAAGUGCUAUUAUUUCACAAGGUAACAGAAUGGAGAACAAACAGCAAAGCAACGGCAUGAUGAAAGAAAAU
rnacentral:lncRNA from 1 species